UGUUUUCCCAACUAUGGAGCUCGGAUGGUGGUAUCAAUCCCAAUUGAUGUUCAAUCCAUUAAGUUUCUGGAAAUUGAAUAGCAAAGGGCGAUUAAGGAAGUUUGGGGAAAGAACACUUAACUAGAGAACAAGAGAGCCAUGUCAAGUCUUUUGCAACUGACCUAUAUGAGGAAAAAAAUUAUAUUAAAGAGGGGGCUAAAGUUGUUUGAUUAAAGCAUCAUCAAUUUAUGCUCACCUGGUUCAAAUCGGAGCUUGAUGGCUAGAUGGAAAUAAACACUAAGAACUGGUUUUCUUCUUGAAUAUCACUUCUUCAUUGAGGAAUUAGAGGCU
rnacentral:lncRNA from 1 species